AGACUGAAAAUAGACGCCUGGCAGCUGAUCGGGAGAAAAUAAACGGAAAGAACCAAUACAGACGGUGGAGCAACGCUUUCACUGUCAAAACUAUUACAGUUUAAAUAAAUCUGUAAAUACCUAGUAUCCAAUCGCUGGAUGCAUCUACAAAUGAAAAAGAAAACACCAGUUUGAAUAAAACGACACUGCUCACGUUGCACGCCGCCUGGCACGGGACAGUCACGUUGACUGCAGACUAGACGGCCGACCCUGCAGCUUGGCCCACGCUCGCCACAAAAGAGAAACAGAUCUCAGGUCAGUUUGAAUUGCGGGAUAUUCCUCUGUGAAUAGUGAGAAAAUAUAUUUGGAAGUGUAUUGUACAUUUGAGGAAAAUUACGUUUGAUUGGAAUGAAUAAUUGGCAGCUAAAAACAAAAAAGAAGGAACGACAGUUUAAUAACGUAAAAUACAUUCAACCUGCAAGUCAAUGACAUUCACAAACCUCGUGGAAAAUAAGAGUACGCCAACGAAAUAAAACACAGAACUAGUUCUGCACAACAGGAACAUUGACUGUAAAAAAUACAACAAACAAUACAUGUGUACAGUGGGAGGGAUAUAGAUUGAAUAGCACCCUUUUCUUUAGUUUAUAAUGUUUGUUGCCCUUUAAGCUGAACUGCAUUUAUUUAGCAAUAUAAUCUAUAUUACUAUAAUAAACCCAAUCAUUGUUGUUAUAGUAUACUAUUGUUGUGUAAUUUGUGUGUAUAUAUAUAUAUGCUAAGCUGUGUAUAAUUGUUAAUACUAUUACUACAGUAAUACUCCCCUGUAUAGCUAAAUGAUAUUCUGAGUUAACUAUAGGAAAAAAGGUUUUGGGGUCAUUAUAAUAUUGAAGUGAAGUAUUGACUGUGUUGCUGCACAAUACCUCUUCAGAAAUACAGCUGGAGAGUUAAGGUGGGGGAACCUAUAUUCCCCUGGAGGCACCACGUGUUCAAGCUGCAUUGUUACACAAAAACCCAGGCUGCCGAGACCUCUACAACACCAGAGAGGACAGCGGGUAAGGGGCUCCUGUUUACCAUCACACCUGCUGCAUGUUAUACGAUACAAAAAAUAAUCCCUUACAUACGUUUCAGGCAAUAUCGAACAUCAUUACAUCAUCAAAUUCUCUCCGAAAGCAAUCUCCAGAAUACUCUCGGCAGGCUCCCCCACACAAAGAAAACACCCGCUGUACUCUCCUGCUUCAUCUUUACAGAGCUAGUUACUAACAAAUAUACAAUACAUCUUCAUACACACUUCCCAACCCACCCACGUCACGUGGUCUCCGCUUCACAUGUGACCACUUACGGGAAUAAUACGGUGCAUUUUGCCAGCGCGUCGUACCUGGAGACACUUCGUAGAACAAUGGCGUCUGAAUUUAAAUUCAAAGCUUUCGGUGAUGCAUCUGCGUUGAAAGGUUAUGUGGGAUUAACGUAUGGCUGAUAGAACGCAGCUAACCAAUCAGAAAGCAGGAUUUUUCCAAGCAGGUUUAUAAUACACAUCAAUGGGUAAAUUUCACAGAAAUCGUGAAAUUCGUGAUAAGCUUGAAAAAAAUACUUAUUUUAAAAUCAUAUUCCCAUUGAAACCUGUUAGCAUCGACUGCACUGGUAAUUUUCACAUAUAUUCCCAGCGUCCUAUUUUGAGGACAGUCAGGUUAGACGUGCUCCUGUAAUCAGUCCACUGAACACUCACGCCAGCUAUGAAUCUCAAACACAUAGUAAAUAAGAACAUAAGGAUCUCAUCAAGCAGCUUCUUAAAGGAUCCCAGGGUGUCAGCUUCAACAACUUUACUGGGUAGUUUGUUCCAGACUCCUACAAUUCUCAGUGUAAAAACGUGCCUUCUAUUUUCUGUUUUAAAUAGCCCUGUACCUAAUUUCGAUUUGUGACCCCCGGUUUUUCAGGUAAAAAAAGUCCUGAGGGUCUACAUUGCCUACACCUUUUAAAAUUUUGAAUACCUGAAUCAGAUCCCUGCGUAGUCUCCUUUGUUCAAGACCAAACAGAUUUAGUUCCUUUAGCCUGUCUUUGUAUGACAUGCUUUUCAGACCAGGAAUAAUUCUGGUUGCUCUUCUUUGCACUCUUUCUAGAGCAGCAAUGUCUUUUUUGUAGCAGGGUGACCAAAACUGAAGACAGUAUUCUAGGUGAGGUCUUACUAAUACAUUGUAUAGUUUUAACAUUACUUCCCUCGAUUUAAAUUCAACACUUUUCACUAUAUAGUCAAGCAUUCUGUUGGGCCUUUUUAAUAGCUUUCUCCACAUUGUCUAGAUGAAGAUAUUAUUGUAUCGACAAACUUUUUCAUAGGUCUCUGUAAAAGAGAAAGAAUGAAUCUUGGUUAUAAAUCUCCCUCACGACCUGUGAGGGUGCUGUGUAAAGGGAACAGAGUGCCUCGGACUGGAUGGUCUGACAAUUCAUUCCAGGGAAAGGUGGAAGUCGGCCAUCUAGAAAGGAGGCGGAGCUACGGUACAUCAAGUCAUCGCUCCAGAAGGGAAGCGAUGUGGCAACCGCGGAUUGGAGGAGAAACGGUUGCACUCGCUAACCAAGGGGGCGUGACUGACGGUACAAAAGGGAACGUGGCUAAGCGAUCUGUUCCUUUGUUAUGGUUGCGAGCGAACCAAAAGGAGAACCAAAAACGUACCAUGAGUGUUUAGUGUUUUGUUUGUUUGUCAUGUCUAAUUAUACUUGUUUGUUCUUGUUAGACGGCUAACACGAUCCGGAGCUGUCGCUUAAGGCCAGCAGCAAACCUGGACAACACUUCACCACUGUGGCAGAUUUCAAAGCAAGUGCAGGCAAUUUUACUUGGGACUUUUAUGUUUUAAACAAAACACAGUUUUUUUUUUCCAAGCCAAAGGAGGCUGAAUGACCCCGCAAGCUACAAAAAUGCAUUUUAAUAAUAACAAUAAAAUAAAUAUAAGUACUACAUUAACUCGUAUUUUCCUGGAUGUUUAAAUCUGUGUUUCUGCCUCAGUCACGAUUUCAAAGCUCCCUGGAGAUAUACAUCUCAAAUUUCAAGGGGGUCCUGGCAAGAGAACGAGGCAAGAAAUAAUGUUAAAAAAUCAAUAGCAAAAGAGAUAUUCAAAACAGGACAAAAAUAGAUAAUACAAUAAUAAUGCAAAAAAAAACACAUUAAUACAAUUAAAAGCAUAAAAAGUAAAACAAUUACAAUUUACUUGAUCCUGAUCACAGUCGAUAUUUACAGGAUUUGCGACCCUGAGUUUAGGAACUGUUGAUAGUUCCCUUGAGUUAACAGCAUCAAUUAAUUAGUGCAUGUCGCCAAGCAAUUGUAAGCAGGGUGGAGCUCACCCAGGUGUUGAAGGUGAGUCUUAAAAGAGUUUGUUAUAACAGGGAGUCGUUUGAAUUGAUAGAGAAAAGCGUCCAUGUUUUGAUUACAUUUCUUUUGCAAUUAUUGUUGAGGAUUUCCAGUAUAUAUUUUGACAAAUGCAUUUGUAUAAUCUGUCAAAGGCAUUUGCAAAGUCUCAGUUGUGCAUUUGUAUUUAGAUGCAACUGAAGUACAUGCAUCUAUUUGUAUUUGCAUUUGCGUUGGUAAGAUUUGCAGGUAUUUGCAUUUGCAUUUAAAUGCACUUGAACUCCACUAUGGCUCCAGUCGGAAUCGAUUCAGUUCCUUCAACAUGCCUUCGUAACACAUUCAUUUUAGUCUAGUUGUUUUUCGUUAAGAUGCAACAAAACUAAGUUUCUAAACCUAGUUUAGUACCAGAGUUCAUUUUUUAAAUGAAAAUCCAUGUGUGUUAUGUGGUUCUUUCAAAGCUGCACAUGUGAGACCUGUGUAGUGAGAGGUGCAGGACAGGCAAGAUUUAUAGCAUUAUUAUGUCAGCUACAAUAUCUUUAACCCUUUGCAGAUGGCCCAUUAUAAUUCUGAUUGAAAAUAUACAGUAGAGUGCAAAUUUAUUAGAAUUAUUUAGAACCUCAUACAAGUACAAAGCUUCUGUGAAAUCAUAUCAAAAUUGGCACAACCACCCCCCACCCCCCCCAAGAAAUUUACAAAAUAUUAACCGUAGGGAAAUAGUGACAGUAGAAACCUCAGGGAUGACACUCCAAUGAAAACACCAAUAGAGAUCCUUUUUUUUAUUUGGUGCAGCGUGACGGUGGGGUGAAAGUUGAACUCUGCUCAACAUAACCAUAAUAUUUAGGUUUGCAAAAUAUGAUCUGGAAGUACUGAAACCAAACAUCAAUAACCUUUGAUUUAAUGUCCACUUUUCUCCCCAGUCCUGUGAAGAAGCAAAAUGAAGGCUGCUUUUCUUCUUUGUCUGCUUUGCAGUUUGACACUCACCUUGGCUUUCGUCUGUGGACCUCUCCCAAAAGAGAAAUUUGAGACGUGUGACAGCAAAGGAUUGAGCAACUGCACCAAAAUUGGACACUCAUGUUACCAGUACUUCCGAGGGCCUCUGUCUUUUUAUUGUGUCAAUGAGUUUUGCAGAAAUCGAGGGUGUGGAGGACACCUGGCUUCAAUCCACAGUUCAAGGGAGAACAACUUGGUCUUUAAUCUUGUGCGGCAAGGGAGCCCCUCGAACCCAAGAGGCUGGAUCGGGGGGCUCAGGUUUCCCAAGACUAACCUCUUCAUAUGGUCUUAUGGGACAAAAUGGGAUUAUAAUUACUGGGCAGCACACCAGCCUGACAACUGGCACAGCAGCGAGGAUUGUCACCCUUUUACACACCAUAACAACUAACCUCUUCAUAUGGUCUGAUGGGACAAAAUGGAAUUAUAAUUACUGGGCAUCAAACCAGCCUGACAACUGGCAAAGCAACGAGGAUUGUGUUCAUUUCACCGAAUACAAUGUCUCACGCUGGAACGACCUGAGCUGCACUACUCCGCAGGGUUUCGUCUGCAAAUUUCACCAUCGAGGCUGAAGACAAGAGGGGCGACGGAGGAUGAUAACAGCGCUUUUACCGCUUUCUGCUUGUUGGAAAUAAAUAAAUAAAUAGUCCUGCAGUGGUAGAAUAGGAGGAGUAAGAAUACACCACGUUAUCGAUGAGUCACGAUACUUUCUUUACAUGAUACAGCAGUGUGCACAUUUAUUAGGUAAGGCUCUGUGAAACCAUCGGUAAUACUAAUCAGAAUGUGUGAAACCAGCCCUAGAUUACAAUGUUUAAUUCAUAGCUUCAAGACACUCGAAACCACCAGUAGCUGAAAUAUUCAUCUGCUUGACUUAAAGGUUUUGCCCUGCAUUGUAAAAUCUGUUUCAUAGAUCACUAGGCUAUUAACAACGACAGGGUGACUGCAGUCCAAGUUAUCAGCCUUAAAUGGCUGCAUGGCCUUACAAUGGAACGGAACUGAACUGAACUAAUCGGUACGAUUGGAUUUCGAUUCAUUUUAAUUCAACCGUUAAACCCUGUUUUAUAUUAUAUUUCAUUACCGCAAUCUGUCUUCAUUUACUCGAUUUUAUUUAUUAUAUAUAUUUUUUUCUUUUACAAAUAUGAUAUAUAGAGAAUAAUGCACGGGGUAGUGUGUGAUAUGAGAAUGCCCACCCGAGGGGCGGGAUGUUACAUUAACCCAGAGGGCGAAGGCCGUGGGGGCAUUCAAUUCUCAUUUAUCUCACACUACCCCAUGCACUGUUUUUUAUAAUCUCUGCUGAGCAAUUUGUUUUCCCCGGGGUGUUGACUCGGCAGAAUCCAGGUAUAUAUACGUAAUGCAGCAUCUAAAUUUUCAGAGGAUUUAUAAUGUUUUUUGUCUUGGCAUUCUGUAAUUCUGAUUGGUUCAGAAAAGCUAUAACAACAUUUAAAAAAAGCAAUCCAGUAUAUUAAAAAAUACUUUAUUGGUUAACCCCCCC